rnacentral:rRNA from 1 species
AUUGAACGCUGGCGGCAGGCCUAACACAUGCAAGUCGAGCGAGCGGCGGACGGGUGAGUAAUGUAUGGGGACUGCCCGAUCGAGGGGGAUAACUACUGGAAACGGUGGCUAAUACCGCAUACUAUCGGAUAACCCAUAUGGGAUUAGCUAGUAGGUGGGGUAAAGGCUCACCAAGGCGACGCUCUCUAGCUGGUCUGAGAGGGUGAUCGGCCACACUGGGACUGAGACACGGCCCAGACUCCUACGGAGGCAGCAGUUGGGAAUAUUCGACAAUGGGCGAAAGUCUGAUCCAGCAACGCCGCGUGAAUGAAGAAGGCCUUAGGAUUGUAAAGCACUUUCGGCAGAGAAGCGGUACCUAAAGAGGAAGCAACGGCUAACUCCGUGCCAGCAGCCGCGGUAAUUC